UUUUGUGGGUGGCUACUACUAAUCUUUUUUAGUUUUUAUUUUCUGCCAGGACAAGGAAUCUCUAAAGGAACAGUGAAAUGCCUGUUGCAGCAGGACAGUACUGUUUUCUAGGCUUUCCUAGAAAGUUCUCUGUAGAUGCCAGAUCUUACUCUGUACACAGUACAUCUGUUUUUCUUGGGUUAGGGAAUUUUAAGAACACCUCAUGUUAACUGGAACACUUUUCUUGUGAGAUAAAGACAGUGGGUAUCUGUGUACAUCAGUCUGGGAUAAACAGGCCAUUGUGAAAGGAGACCUGGUUCAGCAGGAGGGUUCCUGAGUCCUUGUCAUACUGAACUUGGACAGCUGCCUUCUCUGUAUACUUCCAGGUCAACUGAGAAGAAUGGGGAGCACUUUAGUCAUUACUGAGAAAGGAUUUAAAACAAAACAAAAUAAAACUCUCUAAAGCCUAUGUUUGUAUUACUCUUUCUGGUGAACAAGAAGUGUUCUUCUAUGUGAUUGUUUGAAAGAGAAUUGGACCAUGCAGUGACCAGUUAUUACACAUGGUUAGUGAAUCGUUCUCUUCCUUAUACAAACUCAUUGCUGCGGGAUUCAAAAAGAAUUAGCUCAUCUCUCAUGGAUUUCUAAUUGGAAGAUGUUCCCUGUUGGGAGGAUCCUGCAGCUUUCACUUCAGAAGAGUGAGGAAUUCAGAUUUUGUGAGUGGUUUCAAAUUUCUAAGGAAUGGCUGUUGUGCCAUCUGAGUACAAAGCCACUUGAAAGCAUUGCCUAUUGUCUACCUCAGGUUUUCAUGUUGCCAUUUGGCAAGAAGCAGAAGAAAAAUGGUGAAGUGGUGGCUGUCAUCUCAGAACCUGCAGAGCAGAUCUAAUGGUACCUGCUGCUUCCACGUGGAAGAUGGAGCACAGGGAAUUGGUGCUGGGAAGGCUGCCUGCCCCUGGUGUAGCCCAUGGAUGGUCUUAACUGCAGUGCAUCCUACUUCUCCCACAGUGUAAUGCAGUUAACAGUGGGAAUGUUACUGGAGUUAGGUAAAUGGUUUCAAAGGAAGUGCUACAGAUAGAGGGCUGCUAAUUAUCAAUGGCCCAGUAGGGAGGUAGCCAUAGAUACUUGCUGGUGCAUGACUGGGUAAUCUAUCCUGGAAUUCAGACAGACAUCUCCCAUUAAGCCCUACGUUCUUCAGCUGAAUGUUCUACAUCAGUUGUGAGGCUAGGAUAUUAAAGAAAAGAUCUUUUUAAAUAAUUUUGAACUUCCUAUUUAAAGCCAUACCAAAUCCUGGUGAUUGGUUAUGCAGAAGACACAGAUUGUUUUUAUUAGCUGGAGUAAUGUUGGUAAAAGUCAACAUCUGACAGAGAAGAGGCAAGAGUUGGCAAAAGAAGAGAAUAGGGAUUUGAGCUUUAAAGCAAUAUACAUAUAAUUGUAUUCACAAAGACUUUCAAAUUUUUUAUUAAUUUUUAUUAAACUAUAUUUUAUUAGUUAUGGGUUGAUUGUUAUUGAUUCACAUGCAUGAUGCAGCACAAUAGUAUUUACAUGAUAUGGGAGUACAGUAUCACAGCCUGAAUGUUGACAUUGAUCUAGUUAAGAUACAUUUCCUUCACAAGAUUCUUCAUGUUGUCCUUUUAUAGCCAUAUUCACUUCCCUCCUGUCCACCCUCCUUCCUUUAACCUCUGGUAGCCACUAAUUUGUUCUCCAUAUAAUUUUCUCAUUUCAAAAGUGUUAUAAAAUUGAAAUUCUGUGGUAUGUUGUGAUUUACUUUAUAUGUGUGUGUGUGUAUGUGUAUGCAUGUAUGAAUGAAAAGUAAGUGGCAGCUGCAGGUAUAAUUGGCUUUUUUCAUUCAGCAUAAUUCCCUGAAGAUAAUAGUCAUUUUUUUAGACAAUGUGGUUUGCAAAUAUGUACUCUGACUCUGUAGUUUGUUUACUCAGACUCUUAACAGGGUCUUUUGAAGAACAAUGUUUUAAAUUUUAAUGAGGUCCAAUUUAUUGAUUUUUCCUUUUAUGGAUCAUACUUCUGGCGUCAAGUCUAAGUACUCUUUGCCUAUCCCUGGAUUCUGAAGAUUUUCUUCUAUUUUUUUCUUAAAUUUUUACAUUUAAGUCCAUGAUCCAUUUGAAUUAAUUUUUCUAUAAGGUGUGAGACUGAGGUCAUGGGGGUUU